AACGAACGCUGGCGGCAUGCCUAACACAUGCAAGUCGAACGAGACCCUCGGGUCUAGUGGCGCACGGGUGCGUAACGCGUGGGAACCUGCCCUUAGGUUCGGAAUAACUCCCCGAAAGGGGUGCUAAUACCGGAUAAUGUCUUCGGACCAAAGAUUUAUCGCCUUUGGAUGGGCACGCGUUGGAUUAGCUAGUUGGUAGGGUAAAAGCCUACCAAGGCGACGAUCCAUAGCUGGUCUGAGAGGAUGAUCAGCCACACUGGGACUGAGACACGGCCCAGACUCCUACGGGAGGCAGCAGUGGGGAAUAUUGGACAAUGGGCGAAAGCCUGAUCCAGCAAUGCCGCGUGAGUGAUGAAGGCCUUAGGGUUGUAAAGCUCUUUUACCCGGGAUGAUAAUGACAGUACCGGGAGAAUAAGCUCCGGCUAACUCCGUG
rnacentral:rRNA from 1 species